CGGGACGGGUGAGUAAUGUCUGGGAAACUGCCUGAUGGAGGGGGAUAACUACUGGAAACGGUAGCUAAUACCGCAUAACGUCGCAAGACCAAAGAGGGGGACCUUCGGGCCUCUUGCCAUCGGAUGUGCCCAGAUGGGAUUAGCUAGUAGGUGGGGUAACGGCUCACCUAGGCGACGAUCCCUAGCUGGUCUGAGAGGAUGACCAGCCACACUGAACUGAGACACGGUCCAG
rnacentral:rRNA from 1 species